GCAGUCGUGGCCGAGUGGUUAACGUGAUGGACUAGAGAUCCAUUGGGAUCUCCCCGCAGAGGUUCGAAUCCUGUCGACUGCA
rfam:Ixodes scapularis strain Wikel colony gcontig_1108378657654, whole genome shotgun sequence.